rnacentral:tRNA from 1 species
GGAUUGUGGCUCAGUGGUAAAGUGCUCGCCUAGCAUGCAUGAGGCAUUGGGUUUGAUCCUCAGCACCA